AUUGAACGCUGGCGGCAGGCCUAACACAUGCAAGUCGAACGGUAACAGGAAGAAGCUUGCUUCUUUGCUGACGAGUGGCGGACGGGUGAGUAAUGUCUGGGAAACUGCCUGAUGGAGGGGGAUAACUACUGGAAACGGUAGCUAAUACCGCAUAACGUCGCAAGACCAAAAAGGGGGACCUUCGGGCCUCUUGCCAUCGGAUGUGCCCAGAUGGGAUUAGCUAGUAGGUGGGGUAACGGCUCACCUAGGCGACGAUCCCUAGCUGGUCUGAGAGGAUGACCAGCCACACUGGAACUGAGACACGGUCCAGACUCCUACGGGAGGCAGCAGUGGGGAAUAUUGCACAAUGGGCGCAAGCCUGAUGCAGCCAUGCCGCGUGUAUGAAGAAGGCCUUCGGGUUGUAAAGUACUUUCAGCGGGGAGGAAGGGAGUAAAGUUAAUACCUUGCUCAUUGACGUACCCGCAGAA
rnacentral:rRNA from 1 species